rnacentral:rRNA from 1 species
AGACAAAGAAAUAUAACCCUUAAAGGCACUGGAUUUCAUGUCAUCUUGGAAGCUAAGCAGGGUCAGCCCUGCUUAGUACUUGGAUGGGAGACCGUCAAGAAAUUCCAGGCUGUAUUUC